rnacentral:rRNA from 1 species
AUUUUUUUGUUGUUAUUAAAAAUGAAUCCUGCUCAAUGUAAAAUAAAUGGCCGCGGUAUUUUGACUGUGCAAAGGUAGCAUAAUAAUUAGUCUUGUAAUUUAAGACUGGGAUGAAAGGAUAAACUAGAAAACUUCUUUCUUAACUAUUAUUUUAUAAUUUUACUUUUUAGUAAAAAGGCUAAAAUGUUUCUUUUAGACAAGAAGACCCUAUAAAACUUUACAUAGAAUGAUUUAAUAAAUUAAUAAUAUGUUUUGCUGGGGCGGUAAAAAAUAUAAACAUUUUUAAAUUGUUAAAAAUAUUAUUAUUCUUAUACCCAAAAAUUUUGAAAUUUAAAUAAGUUACUUUAGGGAUAACAGCGUUAUAUGCUUUUAAAGUUCUAAUUGACAAGUGUGUUUGCGACCUCGAUGUUGGAUUAAAUUACCUUUAUUGCGCAAGAGCGGUGAUAGGAGGUCUGUUCGACCUAUAAAAAUUUCCA